GCUCACUUCAGCGGCGCAUAUACUAAAAAUGGAAUGAUACAGAGAAGAUCAGCAUGGUCCCUGUGCAAGGAGGACAUGCAAAUUUGUGAAGUAUUCCAUUAAAAA
ensembl:snRNA U6 U6 spliceosomal RNA